ACAGGACUCCUGGCUCUCUGUGAGGAAGCAAAUGACCACACUGGGAAACCCCAUGUGACAAGAACUGAGUGGCCCCCAGAUGACCAAGGCUCUUGGGCAUUGGCCUCAGAGAACUGGAUGCUGCCCACAACCACGUGAGCAGAGACGUGGACGCUUCCCCAGUUGAGCUUUCAGAUGAGAACACAGACCAGCCAACCCUGGAUGACAGGCUUCUGAGACCCUCCACAAGGGAUCCCUGACCUCUGGAAACUUUGGGAUAAUAAAUGUGUGCUGCUUGACACCACUAAGUCUGUAGCAAUCUUAACAGCAGCCAAUGCCUCAUAUAAGGGAGAAGGCCACACAGCCAAGCACAGGGUGGAUGCAAGAGAUGUCUGAUAAUAUGAAUUAAAAUUGUGCCCUAUAUUUCUAAGUAGUCCCACUCAUAAAGGCCCUGUGUUCUGGAAUUUGCUCCCUUGGUCCCUGGGCUCCAUCCUGCAGAAGGGUGAAGCCUGGAGUCAGCCAUCACUGAGGCCAUGGAGCUGGACGGCCAGGGUUGACUUACGGCUCUGCACCACUUACCCUCAGGAUCGUCCCUCACUCUUCAGAGUCCCCACUUCUUCUGUGACUAAGGGGAUGGUGCUCUUUUGCUGGCACAAGAUACAUAACAGAAACUAGGGCUCUUCCUUUCUGGAAAAAAAAAAAAAACGAUUUUUUACUACACUCAAAAACAGACAGAUCAGACAGAAUGAGAGGCCUUUGGAAUAUUCUGGGACCACCUGAAAUGAAAGCCAUCACAAAAAGAGAAUGGGUAAGAUUCCCUUCCAUUGAAGACACCGAACGUGCCUUCGUGUGAGGGCCCCAAAGUUGGGAGCUUCCGUUCUGUGCAUGCACACACACACACACACCCCUCUACAGUCAACUACCAGCUCACACAUACAGAUCAAUAUACCAGGGCAAGAGGGAAGGAAGCAGGCAGGGCACUUUGCCAAAGGCAGAGAUCUGUGUGGGCUGUUGUGCUGUAUUUCUGGUCCAAUAAAUCAAUCUGCUUGAAAGAGCUCCUCCAACUCUGUGACUGUAAUUGGAACUACCUUCCUCAGAGGCUGUUUGUUGUAUACAAGGUCAAGAGACAAGCACUGGUUUUCAGAGUCAAACACAGUUGCUCUUCAC
rnacentral:lncRNA from 1 species